AUUGAACGCUGGCGGCAGGCCUAACACAUGCAAGUCGAGCGAGCGGCGGACGGGUGAGUAAUGUCUGGGAAACUGCCUGAUGGAGGGGGAUAACUACUGGAAACGGUAGCUAAUACCGCAUACCAUCAGAUGUGCCCAGAUGGGAUUAGCUAGUAGGUGGGGUAACGGCUCACCUAGGCGACGAUCCCUAGCUGGUCUGAGAGGAUGACCAGCCAAAAUGGAACUGAGAAAAGGUCCAGAAGCCUACGGGGGGGAGGAGUGGGGAAUAUUGCAAAAUGGGCGCAAGCCUGAUGCAGCCAAGCCGGGUGUAUGAAGAAGGCCUUCGGGUUGGAAAGUACUUUCAGCGGGGAGGCGUUACCCGCAGAAGAAGCACCGGCUAACUCCGUGCCAGCAGCCGCGGUAAUAC
rnacentral:rRNA from 1 species